AACGUUAUUUUUGUUUAUUCAUCCUUCCACAAGAUACAGACAGACCCGAUACAAAUCGUUUGUCGUUCGUUCUAUUGGUUCUGUUGCCAAAAACGUGACACAGUCAUUAAGUAUUUUGUUCUGUAUCUAUGGGCGCGACCCAGUCAUUCGUUCUAUUGUCAUACUGGCUGGCAACGUUCUUAUCCCUUGCUUGCUAGCUUGCCAACUAUUGCUAACUUACAGUCACGUCAAACACUGCAGCCAGAAUAACAGCAAAGUAGCUGCAUUUGCGUUUGUUUAACCAUAUAACGUUAACUAGCUCUCGUCAGGAAACAACUUUAAGUACAGAGAUCUCAUAAAGUCUGCUUGAUUAACAAAGCAUCACAGAUAUUUCAAGGGAAAUCAGGUGACAAACCAGUUUUUGAAAUGGACAGUGAGGACAGACACAGCCUGCCACUCUCCUUCCACACUGAGCCCAAACCAGAGUCACUGGUUCCUGAUUGUGACAGUGGAGUCCAGUGUGCAGCGCAGGAUCCAGAGAUGACUUCAGUAAAGCUGGAAGACUGCAGUCAAACACUGGGGCUGAUUAAAGAUUAAGAUGAGAUUGUGAAAUAUAUUCCUCAUGGUGAGAGAAGCCUCACUCCUGCUCUGGCUGUGAAAGUGCUUUAUUACAAACCCUAAACUAACCAUUAUCAGAGUUCACACAAGAGAGAAACCAUACCAUUGGUUUUGACGGUGGGGAGGGUUUCUCUCAAAUGGAUACCUUAAAACAGGUACAUUUGACACAUUUGUCAGAAAAUACACACAUGAUAUACAGUUUAAGUUUACUGUAGAAAGGGCCCAUGGAGUUGGUGGAAUAAUCCUUUAAUUCAUUGCCACUUACUCAGCUGGGCCAGGGGCGCUUUAAUUAGGUCAGGUUGAAAUGUCAGACAGAUCUCAACUCCAUAAAAGGAGGAAAUUGCCAUCGCCUGAGCUAACUGCUUUCUCUUCCUUAACUGCGUCUGAUACAGAAGUUCUGUGCGUCCAUGAAUCCACGUAAGUCCACCGACUUUGUUACCUUUCAUCUGAACUAUCUGUUGCGAUCCGGAGAGUGCGCCAUCAGUUAUUGUUAAUAGUUAUUUCCGCAGAGCGCGGCUUGGAGCGCACGCUUCAAACAUAUUGUGUAAUGGGAAUUCUCAAUGAUCACGGCCCUACGGAUCCUCAUAGGCCAAUUAUGCAAUCGAUAUGCUUAAUAUGUAAUGAAAUUGAUUACAUGUACACAUGAAGACAAUUGAAAGGGUGAAAUGAGAAAUGUCAUUGUUUGCUAAUUGAUGGACUUUGAUAUCAAACUAAUGGGGAUUAUAGAUUGAAUAACCACUGUUUGUAUUCUUUCAUGAUUUAUGAUAAAUAGUUACGAGCCUAAAUGACUCACGGAUGAUAACUAUAGGACUUCUUAAUGAACUGGAUUGUUGACUUCCCUAAUUAUGUUAAUCAUGAAUGCUUGGUAUGAUAUGAUCUUUUAGAAUGAUGAAUUUGAUCAGAUACAUGUUAUUUGUUUCCUUUGUUAUGCAGCACAUACUAUUCAGUAAAUAUACCACUUUAUGGUUAAAGGAA